rnacentral:rRNA from 1 species
AACGAACGCUGGCGGCAUGCCUAACACAUGCAAGUCGAACGGGAUCCGGACUUCGGUUCGGUGAGAGUGGCGGACGGGUGAGUAACACGUGGGAACCUGCCUUUUGGUUCGGGAUAACCGCGGGAAACUGCGGCUAAUACCGGAUGCUCCCGAGAGGGAAAAGAUUUAUCGCCAGAAGAGGGGCCCGCGUCCGAUUAGGU